AGGUUUGUGUGCAAAGAGUGUUCGUUCGUGGCGGUGCAGUACGAUAUCAACUUGGAUGUGAGCGGAAAUUAAUGUGCGACCACCUGUUAAAGGAUUAUAGGUAUACACACGGCCUAGGUCAAGGAAGACGAGCCAAUGGAGAUACAGAUAUUUGUUCAGCAUGUUGUAAUACUAACCAAUGUAACGCCGAACAUUGUAGACAUCUUAUCAAAAAGCAGAAAUGUAAUUUUCCUUCCGUCUGUGGACCAUAGAUAUCGUGGGCUGAAAACAAGAGUUGUAACUUAAGCUUGAAAUAAAUCAUACCCAAGAG